UGCCAGACUCCUACGGGAGGCAGCAGUGGGGAAUAUUGCACAAUGGGGGAAACCCUGAUGCAGCGACGCCGCGUGAGCGAUGAAGUAUUUCGGUAUGUAAAGCUCUAUCAGCAGGGAAGAAGAUGACGGUACCUGACUAAGAAGCCCCGGCUAACUACGUGCCAGCAGCCGCGGUAAUACGUAGGGGGCAAGCGUUAUCCGGAUUUACUGGGUGUAAAGGGAGCGUAGACGGCGAUGCAAGCCAGAUGUGAAAGCCCGGGGCUCAACCCCGGGACUGCAUUUGGAACUGUGUGGCUGGAGUGUCGGAGAGGCAGGCGGAAUUCCUAGUGUAGCGGUGAAAUGCGUAGAUAUUAGGAGGAACACCAGUGGCGAAGGCGGCCUGCUGGACGAUGACUGACGUUGAGGCUCGAAAGCGUGGGGAGCAAACAGGAUUAGAUACCCUCGUA
rnacentral:rRNA from 1 species